UAGGGAAUUGUUCGCAAUGGGCGCAAGCCUGACGACGCAACGCCGCGUGGAGGAUGAAGAUCUUCGGGUCGUAAACUCCUUUCGAUUGGGACGAAUUCCCCGGGGGUGAACAGCCUCUGGGGGUGACGGUACCGAGAGAAGAAGCCCCGGCUAACUCCGUGCCAGCAGCCGCGGUAAUACGGGGGGGGCAAGCGUUGUUCGGAAUUACUGGGCGUAAAGGGCUCGUAGGCGGCCAACUCAGUCGGACGUGAAAUCCCCCGGCUCAACCGGGGAACUGCGUCCGAUACUGGAUGGCUUGAGUCCGGGAGAGGGAUGCGGAAUUCCAGGUGUAGCGGUGAAAUGCGUAGAUAUCUGGAGGAACACCGGUGGCGAAGGCGGCAUCCUGGACCGGCACUGACGCUGAGGAGCGAAAGCCAGGGGAGCAAACGG
rnacentral:rRNA from 1 species